rnacentral:rRNA from 1 species
UAAGGCUGAGCUGUGAUGGGGAGCGAAAAUUACAGUAGCGAAGGUCAUGAGUUCAAGCUGCCAAGAAAAGCCUCUAGCCAGGGAGAAGGUGCCCGUACCGCAAACCGACACAGGUGGGCGAGCAGAGUAUGCUAAGGCGCGCGGAAGAACUCUCGUUAAGGAACUCGGCAAAAUGACCCCGUAACUUCGGGAGAAGGGGUGCCUCGGUAGGGUGAAUAGCCCGAGGGGGCCGCAGUGAAAAGGCCCAAGCGACUGUUUAGCAAAAACACAGGUCUGUGCGAAGCCGUAAGGCGAAGUAUACGGGCUGACGCCUGCCCGGUGCUGGAAGGUUAAGGGGAGUGGUUAACCGCAAGGUGAAGCUAUGAACCGAAGCCCCAGUAAACGGCGGCCGUAACUAUAACGGUCCUAAGGUAGCGAAAUUCCUUGUCAGGUAAAUUCUGACCCGCACGAAUGGCGUAACGACUUGGGCGCUGUCUCAACGAGAGAUCCGGUGAAAUUUUACUACCUGUGAAGAUGCAGGUUACCCGCGACAAGACGGAAAGACCCCAUGGAGCUUUACUGCAGCUUGAUAUUGAACUUGGGUACGAUCUGUACAGGAUAGGUGGGAGCCAUUGAAGCAUGAGCGCCAGCUUGUGUGGAGGCGACGUUGGGAUACCACCCUGAUCGUAUCCGAGUUCUAACCUCGCACCGUGAUCCGGUGCAGGGACCGUGUCAGGUGGGCAGUUUGACUGGGGCGGUCGCCUCCUAAAAUGUAACGGAGGCGCCCUAAGGUUCCCUCAGAAUGGUUGGAAAUCAUUCGCAGAGUGUAAAGGCACAAGGGAGCUUGACUGCGAGACAAACAGGUCGAGCAGGGACGAAAGUCGGGCUUAGUGAUCCGGUGGUACCGAAUGGAAGGGCCAUCGCUCAACGGAUAAAAGCUACCCUGGGGAUAACAGGCUUAUCUCCCCCAAGAGUCCACAUCGACGGGGAGGUUUGGCACCUCGAUGUCGGCUCAUCGCAUCCUGGGGCUGAAGUAGGUCCCAAGGGUUGGGCUGUUCGCCCAUUAAAGCGGUACGCGAGCUGGGUUCAGAACGUCGUGAGACAGUUCGGUCCCUAUCUGUCGUGGGCGCAGGAAAUUUGAGAGGAGCUGUCCUUAGUACGAGAGGACCGGGAUGGACGUACCGCUGGUGUACCAGUUGUUCCGCCAGGAGCACGGCUGGAUAGCUACGUACGGAAGGGAUAAGCGCUGAAAGCAUCUAAGCGCGAAGCCCCCCUCAAGAUGAGAUUUCCCAAUUAGUAAGACCCCUUGUAGACGACGAGGUAGAUAGGUUCGGGGUGGAAGUGCCGCAAGGUAUGGAGCUGACGAAUACUAAUCGGUCGAGGGCUUAUCC